rnacentral:tRNA from 1 species
GGCUUGGUAGCUCAGUUGGUAGAGCAGCGGACUGAAAAUCCGCGUGUCGGCGGUUCGACCCCGUCCCAAGCCACCA